GGAAGUAAAAGUCGUAACAAGGUCUCCGUUGGUGAACCAGCGGAGGGAUCAUUACCGAGUUAUACAACUCAUCAACCCUGUGAACAUACCUAAAACGUUGCUUCGGCGGGAACAGACGGCCCUGUAACAACGGGCCGCCCCCGCCAGAGGACCCCUAACUCUGUUUUUAUAAUGUUUUUCUGAGUAAACAAGCAAAUAAAUUAAAACUUUCAACAACGGAUCUCUUGGCUCUGGCAUCGAUGAAGAACGCAGCGAAAUGCGAUAAGUAAUGUGAAUUGCAGAAUUCAGUGAAUCAUCGAAUCUUUGAACGCACAUUGCGCCCGCCAGUAUUCUGGCGGGCAUGCCUGUUCGAGCGUCAUUACAACCCUCAGGCCCCCGGGCCUGGCGUUGGGGAUCGGCGGAAGCCCCCUGUGGGCACACGCCGUCCCUCAAAUACAGUGGCGGUCCCGCCGCAGCUUCCAUUGCGUAGUAGCUAACACCUCGCAACUGGAGAGCGGCGCGGCCAUGCCGUAAAACACCCAACUUCUGAAUGUUGACCUCGAAUCAGGUAGGAAUACCCGCUGAACUUAAGCAUAUCAAUAAGCGGAGGA
rnacentral:ncRNA from 2 species